AGUGGGGAAUAUUGGACAAUGGGCGGAAGCCUGAUCCAGCAAUACCACGUGUGUGAAGAAGGCCUUAGGGUUGUAAAGCACUUUCAGUGGGGAGGAAGUUUGCUAGGUUAUGAGCUAGGUAGAUUGACGUUACCCACAGAAGAAGCACCGGCUAACUCCGUGCCAGCAGCCGCGGUAAUACGGAGGGUGCGAGCGUUAAUCGGAAUUACUGGGCGUAAAGGGUUCGUAGGCGGUUAGAUAAGUCAGAUGUGAAAUCCCUGGGCUCAACCUAGGAACUGCAUAUGAAACUGUCUGACUAGAGUAUAGUAGAGGAGAGGGGAAUUUCCGGUGUAGCGGUGAAAUGCGUAGAGAUCGGAAGGAACAUCAGUGGCGAAGGCGACUCUCUGGACUAAUACUGACGCUGAGGGGCGAAAGCAUGGGUAGCAAACAGGAUUAGAUACCCUGGUAGUCCAUGCUGUAAACGAUGAGUACUAGCUGUUGGACCUGGUGUAAAAGGUUUAGUGGCGCAGC
rnacentral:rRNA from 1 species